AGUGAACGCUGGCGGUAGGCCUAACACAUGCAAGUCGAACGGCAGCACAGUAAGAGCUUGCUCUUACGGGUGGCGAGUGGCGGACGGGUGAGGAAUACAUCGGAAUCUACUUUUUCGUGGGGGAUAACGUAGGGAAACUUACGCUAAUACCGCAUACGACCUACGGGUGAAAGCAGGGGAUCUUCGGACCUUGCGCGAUUGAAUGAGCCGAUGUCGGAUUAGCUAGUUGGCGGGGUAAAGGCCCACCAAGGCGACGAUCCGUAGCUGGUCUGAGAGGAUGAUCCGCCACACUGGAACUGAAACAAGGUUCAGACUCCUACGGGAAGGAGCAGUUGGGAAUAUUGGACAAUGGGGGCAAGCCCUAUCCAGCCAUACCGCGUGGGUGAAGAAGGCCUUCGGGUUGUAAAGCCCUUUUGUUGGGAAAGAAAAGCAGCAGGUUAAUACCCCGCUGUUCUGACGGUACCCAAAGAAUAAGCACCGGCUAACUUCGUG
rnacentral:rRNA from 1 species